AGAGUUUGAUCCUGGCUCAGAUUGAACGCUGGCGGAAUGCUUUACACAUGCAAGUCGAACGGCAGCACGGGGGCAACCCUGGUGGCGAGUGGCGAACGGGUGAGUAAUAUAUCGGAACAUGUCCGGAAGUGGGGGAUAACGUACCGAAAGGUACGCUAAUACCGCAUAUGCCCUGAGGGGGAAAGGUGGGGAUCGCAAGACCUAUCGCUUUCGGAGUGGCCGAUAUCGGAUUAGCUAGUUGGUGAGGUAAAGGCUCACCAAGGCGACGAUCCGUAGCUGGUCUGAGAGGACGACCAGCCACACUGGAACUGAGACACGGUCCAGACUCCUACGGGAGGCAGCAGUGGGGAAUUUUGGACAAUGGGGGCAACCCUGAUCCAGCCAUUCCGCGUGAGUGAAGAAGGCCUUCGGGUUGUAAAGCUCUUUCGGCAGGGAAGAAACGGUCACGGCCAAUACCCGUGACUAAUGACGGUACCUGAAGAAGAAGCACCGGCUAACUCUGUGCCAGCAGCCGCGGUAAUACAGAGGGUGCAAGCGUUAAUCGGAAUUACUGGGCGUAAAGGGUGCGUAGGUGGUUGGAUAAGUCAGAUGUGAAAUCCCCGGGCUUAACCUGGGAACUGCGUUUGAUACUGUCCGACUAGAGUCUGGUAGAGGGUAGUGGAAUUCCGCAUGUAGCGGUGAAAUGCGUAGAGAUGCGGAGGAACACCAGUGGCGAAGGCGGCUACCUGGACCAAGACUGACACUGAGGCACGAAAGCGUGGGUAGCAAACAGGAUUAGAUACCCUGGUAGUCCACGCCCUAAACGAUGGGUACUAGACGUCGGGAGGUUUAUCUUCCUGGUGUCGCAGCUAACGCAAUAAGUACCCCGCCUGGGGAGUACGGUCGCAAGAUUAAAACUCAAAGGAAUUGACGG
rnacentral:rRNA from 1 species